rnacentral:rRNA from 1 species
AUUGAACGCUGGCGGCAGGCCUAACACAUGCAAGUCGAGCGAGCGGCGGACGGGUGAGUAAUGUCUGGGAAACUGCCUGAUGGAGGGGGAUAACUACUGGAAACGGUAGCUAAUACCGCAUACCAUCAGAUGUGCCCAGGUGGGAUUAGCUAGUAGGUGGGGUAACGGCCCACCUAGGCGACGAUCCUGAGCUGGUCUGAGCGGAUGACCAGCCACACUGGAAGUGAGACACGGUCCAGAAUCCUACGGUAGGCAGCAGUGGGGAAUAGUGCGCACUGGGCGAAAGCCUGAUGCAGCCAUGCCGCGUGUGUGAAGAAGGCCUUCGGGUUGUAAAGCACUGUCAGCGGGGAGGCGUUACCCGCAGAAGAAGCACCGGCUAACUCCGUGCCAGCAGCCGCGGUAAUUC